rnacentral:rRNA from 1 species
UACACUUUAAAUCCUUUAACGAGGAUCUAUUGGAGGGGCAAGUCUGGUGCCAGCAGCCGCGGUAAUUCCAGCUCCAAUAGCGUAUAUUAAAGUUGUUGCGGUUAAAAAGCUCGUAGUUGGAUUUCAGUUCUGGACUGACGGUUCACCGCCCGGUGCAUACUGUCACGCUCCGAACAGCCCACAACAGCCCGCUGGCUCGCACGGGGUGCUCUUCAUCGAGUGUCCCGCGUGGCCGGCAGAGUUUACUUUGAAAAAAUUAGAGUGCUCAAAGCAGGCUACACUUACGGCCUGAAUGCCUAUGCAUGGAAUAAUGGAAUAGGACCUCGGUUCUAUUUUGUCGGUUUUCUGAACCCGAGGUAAUGACUAAUAGGAACAGGCGGGGGCAUUCGUAUUGCGACGCUAGAGGUGAAAUUCUUGGACCGUCGCAAGACGAACUACUGCGAAAGCAUUUGCCAAGGAUGUUUUCAUUAAUCAAGAACGAAAGUUAGAGGUUCGAAGGCGAUCAGAUACCGCCCUAGUUCUAACCAUAAACGAUGCUGACCAGCGAUCCGCCGGCGUUAUUCCCAUGACCCGGCGGGCAGCUUCCGGGAAACCAAAGUCUUUGGGUUCCGGGGGAAGUAUGGUUGCAAAGCUGAAACUUAAAGGAAUUGACGGAAGGGCACCACCAGGAGUGGAGCCUGCGGCUUAAUUUGACUCAACACGGGGAACCUCACCAGGCCCAGACACCGGAAGGAUUGACAGAUUGAGAGCUCUUUCUCGAUUCGGUGGGUGGUGGUGCAUGGCCGUUCUUAGUUGGUGGAGCGAUUUGUCUGGUUAAUUCCGAUAACGAACGAGACUCUGGCCUACUAACUAGUCGACGGAUCUCCAGCAAUUUGGUGUCCAGUUCGCAGCUUCUUCUUAGAGGGAUAAGCGGCAACUUUAGCCGCACGAGAUUGAGCAAUAACAGGUCUGUGAUGCCCUUAGAUGUUCUGGGCCGCACGCGCGCUACACUGAAGGGAUCAACGUGUCCUCCCCCUCCGAGAGGAGCGGGUAACCCGUUGAAAUCCUUUCAUGAUAGGGAUUGGGGUUUGCAAUUGUCUCCCAUGAACGAGGAAUUCCCAGUAAGCGCAAGUCUGACUUACCGUGAUACUACCGAUUGAAUGAUUUAGUGAGGCCUUCGGACUGGCGCUCUUGGAUGCCGGGCCCACGCGGUUCCGCCGCUGGGCUUUCGGCGCCUCGAGCUGACGGAAAGAUGUCCAACUUGAUCAUUUAGA